UACAGAGGGUGCGAGCGUUGUUCGGAAUUACUGGGCGUAAAGCGCGCGCAGGCGGCCUUUUAAGUCUGACGGUGAAAUGCCGGGGCUCAACCCCGUGCCCGCCGGAGAUACUGGGAGGCUGGAGACGAGUAGAGGCAAGCGGAAUUCCGGGUGUAGCGGUGGAAUGCGUAGAGAUCCGGAAGAACACCGGAGGCGAAGGCGGCUUGCUGGGCUCGGUCUGACGCUGAGGCGCGACAGCGUGGGGAGCAAACAGG
rnacentral:rRNA from 1 species